UUAAGUGACUAAGCGUACACGGUGGAUGCCUUGGCAGUCAGAGGCGAUGAAAGACGUAGUAACUUGCGAUAAGCCCAGAUUAGGUAGUAACAACCAUUUGAGUCUGGGAUUUCUGAAUGGGGAAACCCACUUACAUAAGUAAGUAUCAUUAACUGAAUACAUAGGUUAAUGAGGCGAACCGGGGGAACUGAAACAUCUAAGUACCCCGAGGAAAAGAAAUCAACCGAGAUUCCGAAAGUAGCGGCGAGCGAAAUUGGACUAGCCCUUAAGCUUUACACGCGUUAGACGAACGGUCUGGAAAGUCCGACGAUACAGGGUGAUAGUCCCGUAGUUGACGACGUGUGUUCAGUGAAAUCGAGUAGGGCGGGACACGUGAUAUCCUGUCUGAAUAUGGGGGGACCAUCCUCCAAGGCUAAAUACUACUGACUGACCGAUAGUGAACCAGUACCGUGAGGGAAAGGCGAAAAGAACCCCUGUGAGGGGAGUGAAAUAGAACCUGAAACCGUGUACGUACAAGCAGUAGGAGCAGGCUUGUCCUGUGACUGCGUACCUUUUGUAUAAUGGGUCAGCGACUUAUAUUCAGUGGCAAGGUUAACCAUCUAGGGGAGCCGUAGGGAAACCGAGUCUUAACUGGGCGUUCAGUCUCUGGAUAUAGACCCGAAACCAGGUGAUCUAGCCAUGGGCAGGUUGAAGGUUGAGUAACAUCAACUGGAGGACCGAACCGACUAAUGUUGAAAAAUUAGCGGAUGACUUGUGGCUAGGGGUGAAAGGCCAAUCAAACCUGGAGAUAGCUGGUUCUCCCCGAAAGCUAUUUAGGUAGCGCCUCGGACGAAUACUACUGGGGGUAGAGCACUGUUAAGGCUAGGGGGUCAUCCCGACUUACCAACCCUUUGCAAACUCCGAAUACCAGUAAGUACUAUCCGGGAGACACACGGCGGGUGCUAACGUCCGUCGUGGAGAGGGAAACAACCCAGACCGCCAGCUAAGGUCCCAAAUUACUACUAAGUGGGAAACGAUGUGGGAAGGCUCAGACAGCCAGGAUGUUGGCUUAGAAGCAGCCAUCAUUUAAAGAAAGCGUAAUAGCUCACUGGUCGAGUCGGCCUGCGCGGAAGAUGUAACGGGGCUAAGUAGUAAACCGAAGCUGCGGCAAUGUGCUUUUGCACAUUGGGUAGGGGAGCGUUCUGUAAGCGGUUGAAGGUGUGUGGUAACGCAUGCUGGACGUAUCAGAAGUGCGAAUGCUGACAUGAGUAACGAUAAAGGGGGUGAAAAACCUCCUCGCCGGAAGACCAAGGGUUCCUGUCCAACGUUAAUCGGGGCAGGGUAAGUCGACCCCUAAGGCGAGGCCGAAAGGCGUAGUCGAUGGGAAACGGGUUAAUAUUCCCGUACUUCUUACAAUUGCGAUGGGGGGACGGAGAAGGCUAGGUGGGCCUGGCGACGGUUGUCCAGGUUCAAGUGCGUAGGCUUGAGAGUUAGGUAAAUCCGGCUCUUUUUAAGGCUGAGACACGACGUCGAGCACCUACGGGUGUGAAGUCAUUGAUGCCAUGCUUCCAGGAAAAGCCUCUAAGCUUCAGAUUGUAAGGAAUCGUACCCCAAACCGACACAGGUGGUCGGGUAGAGAAUACCAAGGCGCUUGAGAGAACUCGGGUGAAGGAACUAGGCAAAAUGGUACCGUAACUUCGGGAGAAGGUACGCUCUUGAUGGUGAAGUCCCUUGCGGAUGGAGCUGACGAGAGUCGCAGAUACCAGGUGGCUGCAACUGUUUAUUAAAAACACAGCACUGUGCAAAAUCGUAAGAUGACGUAUACGGUGUGACGCCUGCCCGGUGCCGGAAGGUUAAUUGAUGGGGUUAGACUUCGGUCGAAGCUCUUGAUCGAAGCCCCGGUAAACGGCGGCCGUAACUAUAACGGUCCUAAGGUAGCGAAAUUCCUUGUCGGGUAAGUUCCGACCUGCACGAAUGGCGUAAUGAUGGCCACGCUGUCUCCACCCGAGACUCAGUGAAAUUGAAAUCGCUGUGAAGAUGCAGUGUACCCGCGGCUAGACGGAAAGACCCCGUGAACCUUUACUACAGCUUGGCACUGAACAUUGACCCUACAUGUGUAGGAUAGGUGGGAGGCUUUGAAGCAAGUACGCCAGUAUUUGUGGAGCCGUCCUUGAAAUACCACCCUUGUAGUGUUGAUGUUCUAACGUCGACCCCUUAUCGGGGUUGCGGACAGUGCCUGGUGGGUAGUUUGACUGGGGCGGUCUCCUCCCAAAGAGUAACGGAGGAGCACGAAGGUGGGCUAAUCACGGUUGGACAUCGUGAGGUUAGUGCAAUGGCAUAAGCCCGCUUGACUGCGAGAAUGACAAUUCGAGCAGGUGCGAAAGCAGGUCAUAGUGAUCCGGUGGUUCUGAAUGGAAGGGCCAUCGCUCAACGGAUAAAAGGUACUCCGGGGAUAACAGGCUGAUACCGCCCAAGAGUUCAUAUCGACGGCGGUGUUUGGCACCUCGAUGUCGGCUCAUCACAUCCUGGGGCUGAAGUCGGUCCCAAGGGUAUGGCUGUUCGCCAUUUAAAGUGGUACGCGAGCUGGGUUUAGAACGUCGUGAGACAGUUCGGUCCCUAUCUGCCGUGGGCGUUGGAAGAUUGAAGGGGGCUGCUCCUAGUACGAGAGGACCGGAGUGGACGAACCUCUGGUGUUCGGGUUGUGUCGCCAGACGCAUUGCCCGGUAGCUAAGUUCGGAAUCGAUAACCGCUGAAAGCAUCUAAGCGGGAAGCGAGCCCUGAGAUGAGUCUUCCCUGAUACUUUAAGUAUCCUAAAGGGUUGUCGGAGACUACGACGUUGAUAGGUCAGGUGUGUAAGUGCUGUGAGGCAUUGAGCUAACUGAUACUAAUUGCCCGUGAGGCUUAACCAU
rnacentral:rRNA from 1 species